ensembl:lncRNA
CUAGAUCUGUGGUUCCCUAUGGCAUCAGAUCCCUGCUUCCCCACGGCGUUGGAUCCUUGGCUCCCUAUGGCCCCGGACCUGUGGUUCCCUAUGGCACCAGAUCCCUGACCCCCUAUGGCUCCUUAUGGCUCCCUAUGGCCCUGGCUCCCUAUGGCCCUGGACCUGUGGCUCCCUAUGGCACCAGAUCCGUGGCCCCCUGUGGCUCCCUAUGGCCCCCUGUGGCUCCCUAUGGCCUUGGCUCCCUAUGGCCCUGCCUCCCUGGCUCCCUAUGGUAUCAGAUCCCUGGCUCCCUAUGGCACCAGAUCCUGGACUCCCUGUGGCCCCGGCUCCCUGGCUCCCUAUGGCCCUGGACCUGUGGCUCCAUAUGGCCCUAGAUCUGUGGUUCCCUAUGGCAUCAGAUCCCUGCUUCCCCACGGCGUUGGAUCCUUGGCUCCCUAUGGCACCAGAUCCCUGACCCCCUAUGGCUCCUUAUGGCUCCCUAUGGCCCACGCUCCCUGGUUCCCUAUGGCAUCAGAUCCCUGCUUCCCUAUGGCCCUGGACCUGUGGUUCCCUAUGGCACCAGAUCCGUGGCCCCCUGUGGCUCCCUAUGGCCCCCUCUCCCUAUGGCCCUGGCUCCCUGCUUCCCUAUGGUAUCAGAUCCCUGCUUCCCCAUGGCAUGGGAUCCCUGGCUCCCUAUGGCCCUGGCCCCCUAGUUCCCUAUGGCACCAGAUCCUGGGCUCCCUAUGGCCCUGGACCUGUGGCCCGUAUGGCCUUAGAUCUGUGGCUCCCUAUGGCACCAGAUCCUUGGCUCCCUAUGGCUCCUUAUGGCUCCCUAUGGCCCUGGACCUGUGGUUCCCUAUGGCACCAGAUCCCUGGCCCCCUGUGGCUCCCUAUGACUCCCUAUGGCUCCCUGUGGCUCCCUAUGACACCAGAUCCCUGGCUCCCUAUGGCCUUGGCUCCCUAUGGCCCACGCUCCCUGCUUCCCUAUGGCAUCAGAUCCCUGCUUCCCCACGGCAUCAGAUCCCUAUGGCUCCCCUAUGGCUCCCCUAUGGCUCCCCAUGGCUCCCCAUGGCUCCCCUAUGGCUCCCAAUGGCUCCCUAUGGCUCCCAAUGGCUCCCUGUGGAUCCCUAUGGCCUUGGAUCCCUGCUUCCCUAUGGCAUCAGAUCCCUAUGGCUCCCUAUGGCGCCCUAUGGCUCCCAAUGGCUCCCUUAUGGCUCCCUAUGGCCUUGGAUCCCUGGCGCCCUAUGGCUCCCAAUGGCUCCCUGUGGAUCCCUAUGGCCUUGGAUCCCUGCUUCCCUAUGGCAUCAGAUCCCUGCUUCCCUAUGGCAUCAGAUCCCUGCUUCCCCACGGCAUCAGAUCCCUAUGGCUCCCUAUGGCGCCCUAUGGCUCCCAAUGGCUCCCUAUGACUCCCUAUGGCUCCCUAUGGCCUUGGAUCCCUGUCUCCCUAUGGCCCCGACUCCCUGGCUCCCCAUGGCCCCAGAUCCCCGCCUCCCCAUAGAAUCACUCCUCGGUUCCCCAUGACAUCACAUCACCAUUCUCUGUGGUGUUGGAUCCUCAGUUCCUUAUGGUGUCCCCCCCGGCUUCCCCAUGGCCUUGGAUCCCCAUUUCCCUAUAGCAUCACAUCCUUGGUUCCCUAUGGCCCUGGCUCCCUGCUUCCCUAUGGCAUCAGAUCCCUGCUUCCCCACGGCAUCAGAUCCCUAUGGCUCCCUUAUGGCUCCCUAUGGCUCCCUUAUGGCUCCCUAUGGCUCCCUAUGGCCUUGGAUCCCUGGCUCCCAAUGGCGCCCUAUGGCUCCCAAUGGCGCCCUAUGGCUCCCAAUGGCUCCCUGUGGAUCCCUAUGGCCUUGGAUCCCUGCUUCCCUAUGGCAUCAGAUCCCUGCUUCCCCACGGCAUCAGAUCCCUAUGGCUCCCUUAUGGC